rnacentral:rRNA from 1 species
UACGAAGGGGCGAGCGUUAUUCGGAAUUAUUGGGUGUAAGGGCAGUGUAGGCGGUGUAAUAAGUCUUGUUGUUUAAACUCCUCGGCCUAACCGGGAGCAUGCAGUGGAUACUGUUACGCUAGAGGUAUGGAAGAGAGAAGCGGAAUUCUCGGAGUAGCGGUAAAUGCGUAGAUCUCGAGAGGAACGCCCAAGUGGCGAAGGCAGCUUCUUGGUACAUAACUGACGCUGAGGCGACGAAGGCGUGGGGAGCAAACAGG